UACGUAGGGUGCAAGCGUUAAUCGGAAUUACUGGGCGUAAAGCGUGCGCAGGCGGUCUUGUAAGUCUGAUGUGAAAUCCCCGGGCUCAACCUGGGAAUGGCAUUGGAGACUGCAAGGCUGGAGUCUGGCAGAGGGGGGUAGAAUUCCACGUGUAGCAGUGAAAUGCGUAGAGAUGUGGAGGAACACCGAUGGCGAAGGCAGCCCCCUGGGUCAAGACUGACGCUCAUGCACGAAAGCGUGGGGAGCAAACAGG
rnacentral:rRNA from 1 species